rnacentral:rRNA from 2 species
AGACCCGAAACCCGGUGAUCUAGCCAUGGGCAGGUUGAAGGUUGGGUAACACUAACUGGAGGACCGAACCGACUAAUGUUGAAAAAUUAGCGGAUGACCUGUGGCUGGGGGUGAAAGGCCAAUCAAACCGGGAGAUAGCUGGUUCUCCCCGAAAGCUAUUUAGGUAGCGCCUCGUGAAUUCAUCUCCGGGGGUAGAGCACUGUUUCGGCUAGGGGGCCAUCCCGGCUUACCAACCCGAUGCAAACUGCGAAUACCGGAGAAUGUUAUCACGGGAGACACACGGCGGGUGCUAACGUCCGUCGUGAAGAGGGAAACAACCCAGACCGCCAGCUAAGGUCCCAAAGUCAUGGUUAAGUGGGAAACGAUGUGGGAAGGCCCAGACAGCCAGGAUGUUGGCUUAGAAGCAGCCAUCAUUUAAAGAAAGCGUAAUAGCUCACUGGUCGAGUCGGCCUGCGCGGAAGAUGUAACGGGGCUAAACCAUGCACCGAAGCUGCGGCAGCGACACUCAGGUGUUGUUGGGUAGGGGAGCGUUCUGUAAGCCUGUGAAGGUGGCCUGUGAGGGUUGCUGGAGGUAUCAGAAGUGCGAAUGCUGACAUAAGUAACGAUAAAGCGGGUGAAAAGCCCGCUCGCCGGAAGACCAAGGGUUCCUGUCCAACGUUAAUCGGGGCAGGGUGAGUCGACCCCUAAGGCGAGGCCGAAAGGCGUAGUCGAUGGGAAACGGGUUAAUAUUCCCGUACUUGGUGUUACUGCGAAGGGGGGACGGAGAAGGCUAUGUUGGCCGGGCGA